AUCUGUACUGAAAUAGAAAAAAACAGUGAAAGACCCCCGCAGAGGGGAGACCCUCACUCAAGUCUCGGGAUGACGCCACCCCCCAAGAACUCACGCGAGACC
rnacentral:pre_miRNA from 11 species